CUCCUCCACCUAAGGAAAGAUGGAAACAAAGUUAUUUUUUAAAUUUUUUUAAUCCUGCAACAAAUGCCUUAUUUGGGGCUGUUUGGUUGGAGUGGCAGGAGCAUUUAAGGCACCGGUUCUCAUGUCCCACUUCAGAAAUUAAAAGAAAUUCACACCUCACAAAAAGAAAAAGGAUCCAUUUUUCUGGAGUAAAGCUCUGCUUCUGUCCUCGGCCCCUCCCUCUGCUCCGGUCGCCCCUCGGCCCCUGGCUCCUGCCCUGGGACAGGAAGUCGCCGAAUGUCGGCGCUUUCGGAGGUCGCUUACUGUCAUCUAAAGGAGACAUCGAUGAAUCACAGUUAGAAGAUCAACCAAGUAUCAAAGAAGACCUUCCACAUGCUUUAACUUGUUUUGGCCAGCGGCACAUUAACACAUGGUGAUGUUCAGUGGCACCGACGCUUUCAUAGUCAAUUUAAAGGCAAAAUUUUUCCAUGUGUCACACAUUAAAAGACAACAGGAAAAAAAAAAAGCUGACUUUGGGGUGGUCGCAUGUUCCCUUUUUUUUUUUUUUUUUUGAAGGAUGUGGCUGACUUUAUGGGGGGAAAAAAAAAAAUUUGGAAAAGAGUCAAAGUCAGAGGGAAGAAGAGCAGAGGACACGAGGAGAAGAUCAGAGACCAAAAGCUCAGACGAGGGAGGAUAAGAACUCAACAGGGAGAGAGGAGAGGAUGUUAUUAAAAGGUCAGAAAGAGACAGAUACAACUACAAAAGAAAAGAAGGGAUCAGUGAGGAGACAAAGGAUGUAGGCAACAAGACUGAAGAGGACUGAAGGAUAAAUCACAGUGAAGACAUGCAUGCAGCCAAAGGCAACAAAGAAUCUGAGGACCAUCCACAAACACUGCUGGACAUCUUGAGGUUGCUGUGUGUGCAGGCAGGAGCAUCUGAAGUGUUUCCAGCCACAGAAAGAUUAGAGCUGCUCACACAAAGGCAAACCUCUCCGAGCUGUCACAAUGUCUAAUUUUAGAGAUCAGAGCAGUCAAAAUUUACAUCAGAGUCCCCGAAGGUUAAAUUGAGACAGAUUCAGAGUAUUUGGAUAUUUCCAAAGACUCAAGAUUAACCUGCAUUUAAAAUUAAAAACAUCUACUACUGUU